UACGUAGGGCGCGAGCGUUAUCCGGAAUUAUUGGGCGUAAAGCGCACGUAGGCGGAUCGUUAAGUCGGGGGUGAAAUCCUGGAGCUCAACUCCAGAACUGCCUUCGAUACUGGCGAUCUCGAGUCCGGAAGAGGUGAGUGGAACUCCUAGUGUAGAGGUGGAAUUCGUAGAUAUUAGGAAGAACACCAGUGGCGAAGGCGGCUCACUGGUCCGGUACUGACGCUGAGGUGCGAAAGCGUGGGGAGCAAACAGG
rnacentral:rRNA from 1 species